rnacentral:rRNA from 1 species
UACGGAGGGUGCGAGCGUUGUCCGGAAUCAUUGGGCGUAAAGGGCGCGUAGGUGGCGGGACAAGCGUGCGGUGAAAGCCUGGGGCUCAACCCCGGGUCGGCCGUGCGAACUGUUUUGCUUGAGCACUGUAGAGGCAGGCGGAAUUCCGGGUGUAGCGGUGGAAUGCGUAGAGAUCCGGAAGAACACCGGUGGCGAAGGCGGGUUGCUGGGCUGAUACUGACGCUGAGGCGCGAAAGCCAGGGGAGCGAACGGG